CAGUAGCCGCGGUAAUACGUAGGGUGCAAGCGUUAAUCGGAAUUACUGGGCGUAAAGCGUGCGCAGGCGGUUUUGUAAGACAGAGGUGAAAUCCCCGGGCUCAACCUGGGAACUGCCUUUGUGACUGCAAGGCUAGAGUACGGCAGAGGGGGAUGGAAUUCCGCGUGUAGCAGUGAAAUGCGUAGAUAUGCGGAGGAACACCGAUGGCGAAGGCAAUCCCCUGGGCCUGUACUGACGCUCAGGUGCGAAAGCGUGGGGAGCAAACAGGAUUAGAUACCCCUGUAGUCCCUGUCUCUUAUAU
rnacentral:rRNA from 1 species